GGAUUGUGGCUCAGUGGUAGAGCCCUUGGCUAGCAUGAAUGAGGCACUGGGUUUGAUUCUCAGCACCA
rnacentral:tRNA from 1 species